UACGAGGGGGGCGAGCGUUGUUCGGAAUUACUGGGCGUAAAGCGCGCGCAGGCGGUUCUUUAAGUCAGGGGUGAAAGCCCAGAGCUCAACUCUGGAAUUGCCUUUGAAACUAGAGAACUUGGGUACGGGAGAGGUGAGUGGAAUUCCGAGUGUAGAGGUGAAAUUCGUAGAUAUUCGGAAGAACACCAGUGGCGAAGGCGGCUCACUGGCCCGUUACCGACGCUGAGGCGCGAAAGCGUGGGGAGCAAACAGG
rnacentral:rRNA from 1 species